GUCUGUAUGCUGCUUUUGCUGGGGAUAGACCAGGAAUGGAGUCUUACAACUUUAGGCUUGUGAACUUGUUCAACUUGACAAAAUGAAGAUUGAGUUUAUUUGCCAGCAAAGAUGGAUUCAGGUCAGAAAUGUUCUGGUAACUAUCAAUAGUAAGGCACUGAUCUAUCCACAGGUAUUUGUCUAAUCGGUCUAAAACAUCCAGUG